UUUGUUCGUAGGUGGCAACUUGCUUGUGAAGGGAAUAUAGCACAUGUGGUGGUGAUGCCUAAUGUGACAAUCGAAAAACUGGAUUUCUUCUUGAAUGAAUUAGUUGAAAAACGGUCGACUUGGUAUCAAGGGAAUGUUCAACCUCCUUGUAUUGCAGCAGAGAUAGGGAAAGCGAAUUGCGUUUGUGCUCUGCACAAGUGAAAAAAUAUCAGUCUAUGAUUCAGGAAUUCCUCUAUUUUCAUGCAGCUUGUCAUUUGGUUUUAAUGAAAUAUCGAUUAGAUUCAUAAGUUUUUCGUUUUACAUUCUCAUUGUUAUGGUAAAUAGUAGUGCCUAUCGACAUGUUCAUAUGUUGACUAUCUGUCUGC
rnacentral:lncRNA from 1 species